AAAUUAUAUAUACAUAUUUUAUCUUUUUUAUACAUUUAUUUAUUUUAUUCCACUUAAAAUAUAAAUUUGAAAUUUUACAGUCCUAAAAGAUUAUUGUGAUUACAUAUUGAAAAAGAUCAAUUAUCUUGCAAUUAGAAAGACUCUCUACAGAACAUGAUUAUCAACAUAAGGGAGCCUUAGUUUAGUUGGUCUUGAGUAAGGAAAGGUUUGUCCCUGAUCUAGCCGACGAUGACAUCGCGAGGCAUAAUGUAUUUUCGAAAAGAACCUUGUGAUAUGAACUUGACGAUCCUUAUGCUUCAAUGUCCACCCCAGAUCUUCAGCAAAACUUUUCAUUAUUUCUAUCUGAAAUUGCGUCCACUUACUCUUCCUUCUUUUCCUUUCUAGAAAUCUUGCUUCUUGAUCCUGCACCUUCUUCUCUUUCUCCAGCUUGUGCUUAUUUGCUUCUUCUGAAACUUGUUCUUUUGGUAUCAUGGACAGGAGGAUCAAGGUGUUCCAGGUUGAUUUUGCGAUGCCAGUAUUUGGCACAACCACUGGUGGCACAAUAAUCUCCUGCUGGUGUGAUGUGAUGAGAGCGGAACUCACCACAACCAUCAACUGUAAUACAAUGAUAAAGAUGAAGAAGAAGAAGAAGAAGAAGAAGCAGUAGCUCUGUAUUAGAACGGUUAUAAAGACCCUGAUUCCUCUAUUUGUGCAGGCAAUUAUUGGCAUAAGCUAUAAGAAUCACAAUAUGCCAAGUCGACAGCUAUAUAGCAAUGCACCAGAACCCAUUAUUUGUCUCAAUCGGACUUUUAACUUGUUAUAUAGCUGAAUUUUCUUUGUAGCUGUGAGGAUCAACAAAUCAUAUUGUUUUUACUUAUUAAAACCAAUUUGUAGCU